GGGGUUGUGGCUCAGUGGCAGAGUGCUCGCCUAGCACAUGUGAGGCCCUGUUCAAUCCUCAGCAUCA
rnacentral:tRNA from 1 species